CGGUGUGGGUUCUGCAGUGCUGCGCCGAGCCCGCUGCAGCCUCGGACCCGCGGCGGCGGCAGCAGCGAGUAGUAAAGUGUGUGACUUCGUGCAGACUCCACAAUUACCAUGAGGGGCUGCCUCAGAAGAGAGGAGGCGGAAUCUUUCUUAAAGGAAUGGGUUUUGUUUUUCCUCUCCACGAUUGCUUCAUAAGAGGCAGAAUCAGGGCGGAAUCGAGGACUUUCUUAAGACUCAGUGCAGCUGUGGGGAGGUCAAGGUUAAAAUUCACUGGGUGACUGAGGGACGGAGGCACCGAGUUUUGAGUGAGUCAAUGAAAUGCUGGAAGCACUCCUUUUAAAGAGCCCUGCUUGCUCGGAAUAUUGGGGUUAAUGGUAAGAAUAAAGCCAUGUGCCUUGAAAAAUGACUGAUCAACGAUUUGUGUUAAUAUUUAAUUUCCAAUCGCUGAAUUAAAUAACCAUAGGGGGACUGUUGAGUACUUAGUGCAAGAAUGAAAGAAAAUAAUGUAAAAUGCGUUUAAGCCAUCGUGAGCAAUGGAUUCAGGUCCUACCAACAACUACAGGGUCUCUCACUGGAGCUGGAGUGGCUAUUUUCAGCCAGACAGGCUGACCAGUGAGCCUCGUGGUCGCUGAGCCUUGGGAG